rnacentral:lncRNA from 1 species
ACCUCUCUCUCUCUCCACGUUAAAAAGAGAACAAUAAAAAUGAGAAUAAAAAUUGAAGCGUGAAGUUGAAAUUUAAACACAAAAAUACAAUAAAACAUCACCUAAAAGUAGGUAUUUUGAAAGCGGAUAUUUUGUCACCACUCCAACUCUCAUGGUCGAUUUCCAAUUCAUUUCUCUACUUUUCCAAAUCAAAAUACAAAAC